UACAGAGGUGGCAAGCGUUGUUCGGAUUUAUUGGGCGUAAAGGGUCCGUAGGCGGUUCAUAAAGUCUGAUGUGAAAGCCCACAGCUCAACUGUGGAACUGCAUUGGAAACUCAUGGACUAGAGUAUGAGAGGGGUUAAGGGAAUUGCCGGUGUAAGGGUGAAAUCUGCAGAGAUCGGGAGGAACACCAGUCGCGAAGGCGCUUAACUGGCUCAUUACUGACGCUCAGGGACGAAAGCUAGGGGAGCAAACGGG
rnacentral:rRNA from 1 species